rnacentral:rRNA from 1 species
GACGAACGCUGGCGGCGUGCUUAACACAUGCAAGUCGAACGGAAAGGCCCUGCUUUUGUGGGGUGCUCGAGUGGCGAACGGGUGAGUAACACGUGAGUAACCUGCCCUUGACUUUGGGAUAACUUCAGGAAACUGGGGCUAAUACCGGAUAGGAGCUCCUGCUGCAUGGUGGGGGUUGGAAAGUUUCGGCGGUUGGGGAUGGACUCGCGGCUUAUCAGCUUGUUGGUGGGGUAGUGGCUUACCAAGGCUUUGACGGGUAGCCGGCCUGAGAGGGUGACCGGAGUGAGGGGGCAUGUGAGGUGGCCGGGAAGGCUACGGGGGGAAGAAGGGGGGGAGAGGGUGUAAUGCGAGGUAGCGAGACGCAGCAAAGCUGCGUGAGGGAUGAGGGUCGGCGGGUUGGAGAAGGGGUGCGGAUGGGAAGAAGUGGGUGUGACGGUAAGGAGGAAAGAAGAACAGGAUAAGGACGUG